ACAUGCCUACAACAUAGCGUUAAUGCACCGUAUCCCAUUAGAACUCCGUAGUUAAUUGCACUUGGGCUAGAGUAGUAUUGGGAUGGGUGACCGCCUGAGAAGUCCUAGUGUUUUACAUGCC
rnacentral:rRNA from 1 species